GACGAACGCCGGCGGCGUGCCUAAUACAUGCAAGCCGAGCGAAUGGAUGGGAGCUUGCUCCCUGAAGUUAGCGGCGGACGGGUGAGUAACACGUGGGCAACCUGCCUGUAAGACUGGGAUAACUUCGGGAAACCGGAGCUAAUACCGGAUACAUUCUUUCUUCGCCUGAAGAAAGAUGGAAAGAUGGUUUCGGCUAUCACUUACAGAUGGGCCCGCGGCGCAUUAGCUAGUUGGUGAGGUAACGGCUCACCAAGGCAACGAUGCGUAGCCGACCUGAGAGUGUGAUCGGCCACACUGGGACUGAGACACGGCCCAGACUCCUACGGGAGGCAGCAGUAGGGAAUCUUCCGCAAUGGACGAAAGUCUGACGGAGCAACGCCGCGUGAGUGAAGAAGGCCUUCGGGUCGUAAAGCUCUGUUGUUAGGGAAGAACAAGUACCAGAGUAACUGCUGGUACCUUGACGGUACCUAACCAGAAAGCCACGGCUAACUACGUGCCAGCCGCCGCGGUAAGAC
rnacentral:rRNA from 1 species